UUACCUACGGGAGGCAGCAGUGAGGAAUAUUGGUCAAUGGGCGCGAGCCUGAACCAGCCAAGUAGCGUGAAGGAUGACUGCCCUACGGGUUGUAAACUUCUUUUAUAAAGGAAUAAAGUGAGGCACGUGUGCCUUUUUGUAUGUACUUUAUGAAUAAGGAUCGGCUAACUCCGUGCCAGCAGCCGCGGUAAUACGGAGGAUCCGAGCGUUAUCCGGAUUUAUUGGGUUUAAAGGGCGUGCAGCCGGAGAGACAAGUCAGAUGUGAAAUCCACGGGCUCAACCCGUGAACUGCAUUUGAAACUGUU
rnacentral:rRNA from 1 species